UACGGAAGGGGCAAGCGUUGUUCGGAAUCAUUGGGCGUAAAGGGCGCGUAGGUGGUCUUGUAUGUCUACCGUGAAAGCGUACGGCUCAACCGUAUUUUGUCGGUAGAAACUGCAGGACUUGAGGCUGGGAGGGGCUGGCGGAAUUCCCUGUGUAGCGGUGAAAUGCGUAGAGAUGGGGGAGAACACUCGUGGCGAAGGCGGCCAGCUAGACCAGUUCUGACACUGAGGCGCGAUAGCGUGGGGAGCAAACAGG
rnacentral:rRNA from 1 species